CCCGGGAGGGGAAUGAAAUAGAACUGAAAUUAUUGGCUAACAAGCAGACGAAGUGCCCGUAAGGGUAUGACGUCGUGCCUAUUGAAGAAUGAACCGGUGAGUUACUGAUUGCUGCAUAGCUUAACCCCACCAAGUGGGGGGAGGCGCAGUGAAAGCAAGCUCUAACUGAGCUAACUUAGUAGCAGUCAGUAGACCCGAAACCAGGUGAGCUAACCUUGGGCAGGGUGAACCCCUACGAAAGUGGGGGGGAGGCCCGAACUCGUGUCCGUAGCAAUGGGCUGAGACGACCUGAGGUUAGGGGCAAUAUGCCAAACGAACCUGGAGAUAGCUGGUUCUCCCCGAAAUAUAUUUUGGUAUAGCGGCAAAGUUGUGUCUAGAGGUAGAGCACUGAAUGGUUCGUCACGUCGCAAGAUGUGACAACCAAUCAAACUCCGAAUGCUAGUAACACGUUAACUUUGCUAGUCAGUCUUGUCGGGCUAAGCUGAUGAGUCGAAAGGGAAACAACCCAGACUCCCAUCUAAGGCCUCUAAAUAAGAGCUAAGUUGUCAAGGAAGUCACGUUUCAUAGACACCCAGGAGGUUGGCUUAGAAGCAGCCAUCCUUUAAAGAAAGCGUAACAGCUCACUGGAGGAUGAUACGUGGCGCCGAAAAUGAUCGAGGAUUAAGCUCUUUGCCGAAGUUGGAGAAUUCCUGCAAUUUAUUGUAGGAUUUGGUAGGGGAGCGUUCUGUAUGCAGUGAAGUCGAGUUGUAAAGCUUGGUGGAGCUAACAGAAGUGAGAAUGCCGGUAUGAGUAGCGAAAUCCCACUGAGAACGUGGGACGCCGAAAACCCAAGGUUUCCUCCGCAAUGUAAGUCAGCGGAGGGUUAGUCGGUCCUAAGGGUGUGCCUUGCUUUGUGAGGCGUAGCCCGAUGGACAAGUCGUUAACAUUCGACUACAAGGUAUGUAUAUUCUAAGGGGAUGACGAAGUUGGAAUCCUUACUCCCGUUCGCGGGACUAAGUAGCAAAAUAGGAGUAGCUGGUAAAUCCGUUAUUCUGUUUAAUUGAGCUGUGAUGGAGUGUUGUUUAGUAAUAAAUAAUGCUGUAAUUUAUUUCAGUUUCCAGGAAAAGUCUCAUUAGUUCCGAUUUAUCGGGAAAAAUACAUAUUUUACCGUACCGCAUA
rnacentral:rRNA from 1 species